ACGCACGCUGGCGGCGUGCUUCACGCCUGCCAGUCGCACGGAAAGGCCCUGCUUUUGUGGGGUGCUCGAGUGGCGAACGGGUGAGUAACACGUGAGUAACCUGCCCUUGACUUUGGGAUAACUUCAGGAAACUGGGGCUAAUACCGGAUAGGAGCUCCUGCUGCAUGGUGGGGGUUGGAAAGUUUCGGCGGUUGGGGAUGGACUCGCGGCUUAUCAGCUUGUUGGUGGGGUAGUGGCUUACCAAGGCUUUGACGGGUAGCCGGCCUGAGAGGGUGACCGGCCACAUUGGGACUGAGAUACGGCCCAGACUCCUACGGGAGGCAGCAGUGGGGAAUAUUGCACAAUGGGCGGAAGCCUGAUGCAGCAACGCCGCGUGCGGGAUGACGGCCUUCGGGUUGUAAACCGCUUUCGCCUGUGACGAAGCGUGAGUGACGGUAAUGGGUAAAGAAGCACCGGCUAACUACGUG
rnacentral:rRNA from 1 species